UACGUAGGGGGCAAGCGUUGUCCGGAAUUAUUGGGCGUAAAGAGCUCGUAGGCGGCUUGUCGAGUCUGAUGUGAAAACUCGGGGCUUAACCCCGGGCCUGCAGUGGGUACGGGCAGACUAGAGUGCGGUAGGGGAGACUGGAAUUCCUGGUGUAGCGGUGAAAUGCGCAGAUAUCAGGAGGAACACCGGUGGCGAAGGCGGGUCUCUGGGCCAUAACUGACGCUGAGAAGCGAAAGCAUGGGGAGCGAACAGG
rnacentral:rRNA from 1 species